rnacentral:rRNA from 1 species
CGAGCGUUAUCCGGAUUUAUUGGGCGUAAAGCGCUUGCAGGCGGUCAGGUAAUUCGGUUGUGAAAGCCCCGUGCUCAACACGGGGAGGCCAAGCGAUACUGCGUGACUUGAGGNCGGAAGAGGGGANUGGAAUUCCCGGUGUANCGGUAAAAUGCGCAGAUAUCGGGAGGAACACCAGUGGCGAAGGCGGCUCCCUGGACCGCACCUGACGCUCAGAGGCGAAAGCUAGGGGAGCGAACAGGAUUAGAGACCCUGGUAGUCCUAGCCCUAAACGCUGGAUGCUAGGUGUAGGGCUGAUGAGGCUCUGUGCCGGAGCGAACGCGAUAAGCAUCCCGCCUGGGAACUACGGCCGCAAGGCUAAAACUCAAACGAAUUGACGGGGACCCGCACAAGCAGCGGAGCGUGUGGUUUAAUUCGAUGCUACACGAAGAACCUUACCUGGGUUUGACAUGUUGGUGGUACCGAACCGAAAGGGGAGGGACCCUUCGGGGAGCCAACACAGGUGCUGCAUGGCUGUCGUCAGCUCGUGCCGUGAGGUGUCGGGUUAAGUCCCGUAACGAGCGCAACCCUUGCUCUUAGUUAUACGUGUCUAAGGGGACUGCCGGCGACAAGCCGGAGGAAGGUGGGGAUGACGUCAAGUCAGCAUGGCCUUGAUAUCCAGGGCUACACACACGCUACAAUGGCCGGUACAAAGGGCAGCCAAGCCGCGAGGUGGAGCGAAUCCCAGCAAAGCCGGUCCCAGUUCGGAUUGCAGGCUGCAACCCGCCUGCAUGAAGUUGGAGUUGCUAGUAACCGCGCGUCAGCCAUAGUGCGGUGAAUACGUACCCGGGUCUUGUACACACCGCCCGUCACGUCAUGGGAGUUGGCAACGCCUGACAGCGGUAGCCUAACCGAAAGGAGGCGCCGACUAAGGCGGGGCUAUAUACUGGGACGGAGUCGUAACAAG